UUGGAUUUAUGGGAAGCCAUAUAGUCAUACAAGGACUGCUGCAUACAGAGGUGGAGUACUGGAUCUUACCAUAUAUAGUGCAAGAAGUCAACUCAUCUUUUCAACAUUCUGCCCAAGUUCACAAGUUCACUAGGACUCCAAGGUGAAGCCCUCAAAAGCUCUAGAAGUCUACCCAUCUAUUGACCCCAGGAACAGACAGACAAUGACUCUCUUUCUGCUACUGCAGGGGUGAGAAGGACAUUGCAAGCAGGGAAUAACUCCAUGAGCAAAGGCCCAGAGGUGAG